GGAUGUGAGGGCGAUCUGGCUGCGACAUCUGUCACCCCAUUGAUCGCCAGGGUUGAUUUGGCUGAUCUGGCUGGCUAGGCGGGUGUCCCCUUCCUCCCUCACAGCUCCAUGUGCAUCCCUCCCGAAGCUGCGCGCUCGGUGGAAGAGGACGACCAUCCCAGAUAGAAGGAGUGUACCGUUCUUCGGUCAAGGGUAUACAAUAGCUGCGCUCCCCUGCUAGAACCUCCAAACAAGCUGUAAUCAUAUAUUGAAACAAAGUUCCAUAGUCCUUUUCUAAUUGUACAUCCAUAAGUCCAAGCAGGAAGAGUUCUGAUUUCAGU